rnacentral:lncRNA from 1 species
GUGGGUUGGAUUGGUUAUGGAUCAAGCUCAUAGAGAAUCCAUAUGUAGCCUUUACCAACCAAACCCUACUAACCGAUUGCAGGUACCAACCCUAGAUCAAUUGCAUUUUACAUCUCUAAGUGCACACGUGUUGUUACCUAGUGAGUGGAUUAUAUGCAAGCGGGGUAGUAAGAGGUCAUAUGGUUUAUUCAAUUAAGAUGGACUAAAUGUUGUGUUUCGGUGCAAGCUAUCAACUA